AUCCGCCAAAUUGGGCUGAACUGCAGCCAAAGGAUAUGGCACGGGGUGACCAACAGGCAUGUAGUACAAUUGAAGCUGGGGGUCGAAUGGAUGCGCUUGCGGCGAUUGCUGCGUCGGAUGGGCUGCAGUAGGGUAGUAGGAAGGCAUGGUGGCCGCUGGGUGGUGGAUGUAGUGGGGAUUCCUGGGAAUGAACUGUGGUUGCUGUUGAUAUAGGUGGGGAUGGAAUUGUUGCUGCUGGAGUUGCUCCGUCUGCAUAACAGGCAAUACAUGACCGGGAGCAUCAGUAGGCAAUGGAUCACGAUAGCUAAGAUCAGAAGAGACCUUCGGAUCAGAAUUCGGAUUCAAGUACGUAGGCCUGGAUGAAGAAUUCAGAGUAAAAUUCAUCAAAUUUUCAGUAAAAAGCCACAACUUUUUUGACAUAAAAGCGCCAAAGAUCAAGAAAGACGAUACCUUGACGCUGGAUCCAAGGCGGUAGCACCGAUGUGGGUGGGUUUUGGAGGUUGCGGUAGCUUACGGAGCCCAGCGUGCUCGGACCUCUCGUCAUCGGAGAAGACCCUAUUGAAGUUUUCAGUGGCGGAGAUGGUAGGAGAGGAAGCAGAGUCAGUCGGGAGAGGGUUAGGCGGAGGUGGCCGCUGGGGUGCAUAGAUUGGUUCUUUGAAACCCUCGUUAGGUCUCUGGCUGGUGGCCGAGUCGGGUGAGAGGCGCAUGUGGGCCAAGUGGUCGUCAAGGCCGGCGAUGCGGUGAUCCGCAGGGCGGUCAUCUGUGGGGACAGGGAUAGGUGGGAGAUUAGAGAGGGAUGGAGCCGAAGAGGUGGACCCGAAGGAGGAAGACUUAUCGAGCAUUAGCGAAUCGGGGACAGAGUGAGCCUCAUGGCCAUGGCGGCCGAGCUUGCACGACGAGUCCGGGCGGUGGAGACCGAGUUGCUCUGGCUCCCGGUGGGCGCCGCCGCCGCCGCCGCUGCGAGAGUGAACGGAGGAGUUGUCCUCGAGGCCGAGGAUGCCGUUGAUGGAGGCGGA
rnacentral:lncRNA from 1 species